GACGAACGCUGGCGGCGUGCUUAACACAUGCAAGUCGAGCGAACCUUCGGGUUAGCGGCGAACAGGUGAGUAACACGUGGGCAACCUGCCCCGAGCUCUGGGAUAACCCCGGGAAACCGGGGCUAAUACCGGAUACGACAUCGUCAGACAUCUGACGUUGUGGAAAGUUUUUCGGCUCGGGAUGGGCCCGCGGCCUAUCAGCUUGUUGGUGAGGUAACGGCCCACCAAGGCGACGACGGGUAGCCGGCCUGAGAGGGCGACCGGCCACACUGGGACUGAGACACGGCCCAGACUCCUACGGGAGGCAGCAGUGGGGAAUAUUGCGCAAUGGGCGAAAGCCUGACGCAGCGACGCCGCGUGAGGGAUGAAGGCCUUCGGUUGUAA
rnacentral:rRNA from 1 species